rnacentral:misc_RNA from 1 species
AACGCACAUUGCGCCCGCCAGUAUUCUGGCGGGCAUGCCUGUUCGAGCGUCAUUUCAACCCUCGAAGCCCCCCCGGGGGCGUCGGUGUUGGGGGACGGCCCCGCCCACCCAGUGGGUGGCCGCCCCCGAAAUGCAGUGGCGACCCCGCCGCAGCCUCCCCUGCGUAGUAGCUAUCGUUUUAGAAACCUCGCAUCGGAGCGCGGCGCGUGCUCGGCCGUGAAACCCCAACUUUCUGAAAGGUUGACCUCGGAUCAGGUAGGAAUACCCGCUGAACUUAA